rnacentral:rRNA from 1 species
GAUGAACGCUAGCGAUAGGCCUAACACAUGCAAGUCGAGGGGCAUCACAUGAAGUAGCAAUACGGAUGGUGGCGACCGGCGCACGGGUGAGUAACACGUAUGCAACCUGCCUUCAACAAGGGGAUAACCCGUUGAAAGACGGACUAAUACCCUAUAACACAGGGGUCCCGCAUGGGGAUAUUUGUUAAAGGACAACCGGUUGAAGAUGGGCAUGCGUUCCAUUAGCUAGUUGGCGGGGUAAGGGCCCACCAAGGCAACGAUGGAUAGGGGAACUGAGAGGUUUAUCCCCCACACUGGUACUGAGACACGGACCAGACUCCUACGGGAGGCAGCAGUGAGGAAUAUUGGUCAAUGGACGCAAGUCUGAACCAGCCACGUCGCGUGAAGGAAGACGGCCCUACGGUUGUAAACUUCUUUUGCAAGGGAAUAAAGUGGGCCACGUGUGGCCUUUUGCAAGUACCUUGCGAAUAAGGUCGGCUAACUCCGUG